rnacentral:rRNA from 1 species
AUGGAGUCAGCAGCGCGAGGAGGAGAGGAUCACGUCGAGAAUGGCUGCGACGCGCCGGCGAGCGGGAGCGGGAGGAGGAGGGGGCGGGACGAGUUCGAGCGCCCGCCUGAGUGGGACGCGCUGGACGCCCGGCUCGACGAGCAGGAGAGGCUCGACAGAGAGCAGGACGAAAGAAGGGACCCGGCGUCGCUGCCGGCCAUGCUGGCCCUUCCCUUGGCGAAGGCGGGCGAGACGAGAGAACAUCUCUGCCUCAUCUGCUUCGACGACUUCGUGCCCGGCUGCUACAAGAAGAUCAGGACGAUGGACUGCACUCACUCCUUCCACCAACGCUGCAUCUUCGACUGGCUUCUGAUUGACCGACGGUGCCCGCUUUGCCGCUUCGCCAUGGCCUCGGAGAAGGAACGUCUCCUGGAAGAGGAACAACAAGAACGCCUCCAUGGCCAAGGAGCUGCCGCGGCCCCGGCCGAAGAUGUUGAAUUUAAUUUUUCGAGCCGUGAAGAUGUUGAUAUUGAUGUUGGAACCAACUCCUCCUGA